AGUUACUUUUAUACACGUUUUUAUUUUAACUAGAUGAGUACCCGCACGUAGUGCGGGUUUACGUAUUACUAUUUACAAAUUAUUUUAUAUAAUAUCUGUUUAUAUAAAGUAAAGUUAAAUGCAUCGGUAUUGAAACAUAAAUAUGAUUUAGAAUUGUUUUUGAAAAGUCCAACUAUAUUAGUUCAUCUGAAAAACGAAUGUACUUGAGUUGUUUUUUAUUGUUGUUUUAGAUUCUCAGUUUUUUUUUUGAAUUUAUAUAUCCUUGUUUUUUUGUUAUAUGUAUAGAUUAUGAGACGGUGAAAUUUUAGAAAAUUUAUUUCUUACACUAAAAAUAUAACAUGUCUUUAUUAACCAUGUCUCUGCAUAUUCAAUCUAAGCAUAUUCAACUUGAUAUUCUUAGAAAGUUUAGUUAAGUUCUUGUCAUAAUCUUAUAUUUUACGUAUUAGUUAUAAGGAUAGUUUUUCAAACAUCUUUCAAAUUACUUGUUUUCUUAGCAUAAAUCUCGAAAAGCUUAUAUAUAUUUAAUCUGCAUAUUCAUUUAUUUUUUUUCAUAAUAAUCGUCUAAUUUUUAGGCAAGAAAUAUGUGUAACAUGUUUGGAUUUUAUCAUCACUUUAGCCACUUAAGUGGAUCUCAAAAUUAAAAAAAAUAUAUAUUGAAUUAAAAAUGUAAAAAAAGUGAUGGUUCAAGUUCUCAUUAAUUAUAUCCUCCUAUUUUAAUUGUUAUGUUGAAUUAAUUACUAAUUAUGUAUUACUUAUUUUAUGAAGUCUAGGUGGCAAGCUCUCAUGUGCUGAUAUGUCAAGUUGUGGGAGAGAGUUAGCCUUCUUUCAUAUAUAUGAUUAAGAGUUUUAAAUUCACGACUGCGUCCAUAUCUUUAGAUAAGUGUGCUCUAUCUAGUUUAAUUUCCAGUUUCUUGCCGUAUUGUUUGGGAUUUUAUUCGCUCGGAUUACUUCUACUGGCUCGAUUAGUGCUUUGUUUUGACCUAUGUUGACUUUAAUUCUAUACUAUUAUAUUCUUGUUGCUAUUUCUAGCUUAGAACUUCUGGAUUGCAAUGCUAAUUAAUCACGGCGCAAUGUUUUAUACUAUGAGUCUCAUAAUUUUGCUUUGAUUAU
rnacentral:sRNA from 1 species